GGGAUUGGGUUUUAGAGACUUGCACGGUUUUAAUCGAGCAUGUUAGCAAAACAGUGCUGGCGACUAAUCCAAAACACGGAUUCUUUGUGUGUGCAUGUUCUAAGGGCAAAAUAUUACCCAGAUGGCGACAUAUUGAAAGUUGUACCAAAGAAAGGCUCUUCUUAUACUUGCCAGAGUAUUGUCGUAGGUAUUCAGACUUUUAAGCGGGCUUGCAUUUGGUGUGUUGGAAGUGGAGCUUAGAUUGAUAUCUGGCAUGAUCCAUGGAUCCCAUCAAGUGUCACAAGGAAAGUAAUCAUGAAUAGGGGUGCAACAAUGCUUUCAAAGGUUGAUGAGUUAAUAAACCCGUACACAGGCCAGUGGGACGAGGAUCUAAUAUGUGAUGUUUUCUCUCUUGUCGAUGUUCAUAGGAUAUUACAAAUCCCCUUGAAUUAUCACUUGAUGAAAGACUUUGUGGCUUGGAACUAUACACUAUAUGGCACGUUUUUCGUGUGAUCGCCUUAUCAUAAGGAGUUUGAAUAUCAACAUGGGGCAUAGUGGGUGCGAGCCGAUGGGCAAGGUAUAGAAAAUAUAAAAUCGGUGUGGAAGGAUAUGUGGAAGGUGAAAAUACCAUGGAAGAAAAAACAUUUUGCAUGGAAAGUUUUGCAUGGCGCCCUCCCAAGCGUUGAUGUAUUAGCAAACCGACACAUCCCUUUCUUAGCUUAAUGUUCAGUUUGUUUAGUCGAAGCGGAAGACAUUCAACACUGCUUAUUUAAGUCCCGACGAGCUAGGGAUGUUUGGGAGCGGCUUGGCUUUCUACAAGUCAUACGGGAAGCUGUCGCCGGGGACAGGUAA
rnacentral:rRNA from 1 species